CAUUGGCCCAUUGUUUUAUACUCAUAGAUAGUAAAUCGAUCAGAAUGGGUCAUUGUCAUAGCACAUGAAACGUUUAUGCACUUGUUGCAUUCAAAUUGACAUAAUUUGAAACUUAGUAAGUUAGUAAGAAGACGGCCAGAAACCCUUUGCAUAAAUUAAUACAUGCAUUGGACGUGAGGCUGAAUCAUACGGUUAGCUAUGACGUUAAAACCGUGAAUUUCAUUCGUCUUGUGUUUGUUUCAGAUGAAUACCUGCACCAUGGAAAUAUUGUAGAUCUAAUUUGUAAACUGUCGUGGAACCUGUGUUCUGCUCGCACAUUUCCUAUUCAACAGGAAUGCAUGAUGGACACCAACAGUACAGAAAGAUGAAGAUGUAAAUUGAUCCAAGUAAACAAUGGGAAAAUGAAUGCUAUAAUUACCAAGAAGAAGACUGCAUUUUUAUACAGUUGAAGUAUGAUAUGGUGAAUAAAUACUCUCAAUGCAGCCUUAUGGAACUUUGGCUAGAUAUGAACAGUAGACAUCAAAAAGAUACUCAUCUAAAGGGCCACAUGUGUUUGAAGCAUUGGUCAACAACAAAAAAGCAACUGAACUAUUUGAUGGAUUAUACAGAAAGUACAAUCAGAUUUCAAGAAUCAGAGAAAUAUAAGUGUCAAGUGUUAGGGAGAUAGGAAAAUAAGCAUCAUGCAUGAAGAACCUGCCUUAGAUUAAUUUGCAAAAUACAUUGAAAUCUCACAAUUGCUAAUGGAAGUUAAGAAUGGUUUACUCCUCUGGAAAAUAUGUGUCUAGACAGUACUGCAACAACAUUUUGUUUUCAAUUUUCUGAGCACAAUUCUACAUAAAAAUUGUAACAUGGUUACAUGAAUAAUACAAAACAUGUAAUCAUAUUUCCAGACACAAAUUGGGAGAAUCAGAGAAAAAAUAUCUGUCAUGCAUAAAGAACCGGCUUUAUAUUAAUUUACAAAAUGCUUUGAAGCCUCAAAACCGUUAAUGACAUUAUACAUAUUGAAGAUUACAAACGGGCAUUUUGAUAAAUCAUAUACUGGCACAAUUUUUUUUUUUCAAUUCACUGAGCCUAGUUCUACAUAAACAAUGUAACUUAAUAAUGUAGUCUUUGACAAAGUAUAAGUCUUUCGUACUUUUUUAUAGAAAACGUUUCAAGAUUUUUCAAUGUAAAUGUGCUAUUGCUUUUUUUGUGGUGUGGAAAGUGAGAUUCAAAUAAUGUUUUUCGCAUUGUCAGUAUUUUUUCCAUUAUUGGGUGGAUUUUUAGCUCACCAGAGCACAAAUUGCUCAAGGUGAGUUAUUGUGACCGGUCAUUGUCCAGCGUCUGUCAACAUUUGCCUUGUGAUCACUCUACUAGAGGCCACUUUUGUAACCCAAUGAAUGUUAGUCUUGAUGAUCUCUAGGUCAAGUUCGAAACUGGGUCAUGUGGGGUCAAAAACUAGGUCAGUAGGUCAGAUCAAAGGAAAAGCUUGUGAACACUCUAGAGACCACAUUUUUGAUCCAAUCUUUAUGAAACUUUGUCAGAAUGUUAGUCUUGAUGAUCUCCAGGUCAAAUGUGAAACUGAGUUAUGUGAAGUCAAAAUCUAGGUCAGUAGGUCAGAUCAAAGAAAAAGCUUGUGAACAAUCAAGAGACUACAUUUGUGACCCUAUCUUUAUGAAACUUGGUUGGAAUGUUAGUCUUGAUGAUCUCUAAGUCAAG
rnacentral:lncRNA from 1 species